AGCAGCCGCGGUAAUUCCAGCUCCAAUAGCGUAUAUUAAAGUUGUUGUGGUUAAAAAGCUCGUAGUAGAACCUUGGGCCUGGCUGGCCGGUCCGCCUCACCGCGUGCACUGGUCCGGCCGGGCCUUUCCCUCUGUGGAACCGCGUGCCCUUCACUGGGUGUGCCGGGGAAACAGGACUUUUACUUUGAAAAAAUUUAGAGUGCUCCAGGCAGGCCUAUGCUCGAAUACAUUAGCAUGGAAUAAUAGAAUAGGACGUGUGGUUCUAUUUUGUUGGUUUCUAGGACCGCCGUAAUGAUUAAUAGGGACAGUCGGGGGCGAUCAGUAUUCAAUUGUCAGAGGUGAAAUUCUUGGAUUUAUUGAAGACUAACUACUGCGAAAGCAUUUGCCAAGGAUGUUUUCAUUUAUCAGGAACGAAAGUUAGGGGAUCGAAGACGAUCAGAUACCGUCGUAGUCUUAACCAUAAACUAUGCCGACUAGGGAUCGGACGAUGUUAUUUUUUGACUCGUUCGGCACCUUACGG
rnacentral:misc_RNA from 1 species